UACGGAGGGGACUAGCGUUGUUCGGAAUUACUGGGCGUAAAGCGCACGUAGGCGGAUUUGUAAGUCAGGGGUGAAAUCCCGGGGCUCAACCUCGGAACUGCCUUUGAUACUGCAAGUCUCGAGUCCGAUAGAGGUGGGUGGAAUUCCUAGUGUAGAGGUGAAAUUCGUAGAUAUUAGGAAGAACACCGGGUGGCGAAGGCGGCCCACUGGAUCGGUACUGACGCUGAGGUGCGAAAGCGUGGGGAGCAAACAGGAUUAGAUACC
rnacentral:rRNA from 1 species